UACGGGGGGGCGAGCGUUGUUCGGAAUUAUUGGGCGUAAAGGGCGCGUAGGCGGUGUGGCAAGUCAGGUGUGAAACCUCCAGGCUCAACUUGGAGCUUGCAUCUGAAACUGCCGUGCUAGAGUGUGGGAGAGGAGAGUGGAAUUCCCGGUGUAGUGGUGGAAUGCGUAGAUAUCGGGAGGAACACCAGUGGCGAAGCGGCGCUCUGGGCCUAAACUGACGCUGAGGGCGAAAGCGUGGGAGCGAACGGG
rnacentral:rRNA from 1 species